GUCUACUCUGCUGAAAGUUGGUGCUGUUGAUUUCUUGAUGGAAGGCUAAAGGAAUGGGUGGUUUCCUGCGAUUAAUUUUUUAAAGGCAACACAUCACACUUGCAUCUAGGGUGGCUAAAAGAAAGGGUGGCAUCCUGCGGUUAAUUUUUUUUUUUAAGGCAACAAACACAUCACGCACGUGUCUAGGGUGAGACAAGGGUGAGAUAAAAAGCUGAUACCAGAUAAGUAAAAAAGCUGCGCCCUGAACCUGCGCUUUGAGCAAGUGGUUAUGUUCAGAAGGAAACGAUGUCUCUUAGCACCUCGGGGGUGUUAAUCUCAUUCACAAAAUCCACACCCUCUACCUGUUUUGAAAACUAAAACAAAAACAAACUAGUAAAACCCACACUUAACAAUUGCAAACAACGAAGCAGCCACAUUUUAAAAGUCAUGGGGUACGCCUCCUCGCCGGCGACGCACCGCACGUCAGUAAGAAACCUGGUGCGAAACCAUCCCUAGAUUACCUGCUUCUGGGUCGGGAGGUUCGUACAGAGCAGAGCAGUUCCCCGCUGCGAUCUACUGAAAGUCAGCCCUCGAUAUAACGGUUUGAAAAAGAAAAGAAAAAGAAAAAGAGAAAUAAAUAAAAAGAAAAACAAGAACAAAAACCCAUCGGUACAGCACCGAAGGGGGUGGGCCCUGGCUCUGGGCCCCGGCCCCGGGAGGCCGCCUAUUUUAUCACCCUUAGCUUCUCCAGGGGCCACUCACGUCACGGUCUCCAGCGCAGGACCAGGCUCUGCCCCACCGACUUGGAGACGGGCUACGAGAGGGGUCUGCGGGGGAGAGCGCGGAGCGGGGCGCAGCCUCAGCGCGCGGGGUUUCCCGGCGGGCCGGGAGCGGCGGGAGCUGCGGCUGCUGCAGUCAUAUGAUCUUCACUGAUACAUGACCGAAUUUGAUCCACAUGACUCUGGAGAACAUUGAACUUUUUUGGGGUAGUAGUUUACAUUGCUUUUUAAAAUUUAUAAUGUUUUAUACUUUAUAGUUAGUUCUCACAGAACUGAGAGAGCACUUACUAUUAGAAUCCAUUUUGUACAAUUGAUCCUGUGUUUAAAAUUCAAUUUUUCAUGCUGUACAUAUACAUAUAUACCUGCUCACAGCAAAAAGAACUUCAUGAUGUAUUUAUAAGUUUCGGUGUUUAUAAUAUCACUUGAUAAGAAGUAACAGCAUUUUGAUUAUGAUACACCAAAAGAAACCCAGGUCAUUUAGCCCAACUCUCUAAUUUAAUAAACCAGAAAACUAAGUUAGGCAAUUUUGUCUAUGUCACAAACCAAGCCAUCAUGAUCUUGUAGUGAAAUGGCUGGUCCAUAACUCCAAACCAAAAUCUUAUAAUCAAUGGACUCCUCUAAAAUGCCACUUAAAAUAUUCUUUACUGUGAAUUUUAAUUUUUCUUCAUAAACUGUUUCAUUUUAUUUCUCAUACCUAAAUGUUAUCCUUUCCUUUUCCAUUUCAAAAUAGUCCUUGCUGUACUGGAGAAAAGUCUAAGAAAUACUGCUCAUUUAUUUAGUAUCUAUUUGUCCACCAUACCAUUUUGUCUUUUAAGUUAGUAACAAAUAAACAAAAUGCAAAUAUAAAACUCUAAAACUAGAAUUAAAAAAAAAAGCUUUUCCCUCAAAAUCUACUACAGAAUUAUUAUUCAGGAAUUUAUUUUCUUGAGCUGUAUAAUUCCAGGAAUGUUUCAUUUUUUUCCCCUACUUGUUAUAUGGUAUAUUUGUAUUUAUGCAGAAACUAUUUCCAGAUUUCAUAUCCUCUGGUCUAUUAUUCUGGGGCUUAUUUAUUUAUCUUUAAUCUAGAAAAUAUCCCUCAAACUGACAAUAUAUCCUUCUAUUUAACUAUAUGUUUCUUAGGCCCAUGUCAAAUAUCA
ensembl:lincRNA